rnacentral:rRNA from 1 species
AUGGCGCGGCCGCCCCUGCCCGGCGUCUCCAUGGCGGACCGGUGGCGGCGGCACGUCGUCGUCGUCGUCGAGGACGACCACGCCUCCUUCGUCGCGGCCGCGACGCCGAGCUUCGAAGUGCUCGAAGGCGAGGCGCUGGCGUUGCAGCUCCGUCUGCACGCCCACUUCAGGGCCGCCGCGUCGUCGAGCUCCUCCUCCUGGACGCCGCCGGCGAGCCCGAGCUCCGUCUUCACGACGGGGAGCCCCGGCUCCGUCUUGACGGUGGCGAGCCCCGGCUCCGUCUUUGGCUUGACGGAGGCAAGCCCCAGCGCCUGCCACCCUCGUUGA